rnacentral:tRNA from 1 species
AUUUAAAUAGUUUAAUAAAAAUUUUAGUUUGUGGAACUAGAGAUAUACAAAAGUAUUUUAAAUA